CUUCAUUGGCUAUUGUGAUGAAGGUGACAAGAUGGCACUGAUAUAUGAGUUUAUGGCCAAUGGAAACCUAAAAGAAAAUCUCUCAGGUAGGUCCUUCCAUGAUUUUGAUCACUGUACUUAAUUUACUUGGUGUAUUCUUUAUGACAUUUCUUAAUAUUUGAUGAAAGAAAUCAUGUUUCAAUGUGAUUUAAUAUGAUUGCAGAAAAAAGUUCACAUUGCUUGAGUUGGGAAAGAAGACUUCAAAUAGCAAUUGAUGCUGCAGAGGGUCAGUAUAUCUCCAUUUUUUAUUUUUUUAUCGUAGAAAAAAGUUCGCAUUGCUCUGCAAUCCAAGACAUACACACGAUUGGCCCAACUUUGUUACCAAAUUGUGUGUAUUUCUCUGUUUGCAUUUUCAUAUCUUUAUUCUUUGAAAAUUGCUCUUCUCCCAUCAAGAUUUGGUCACUCACAACUGAACUUCCGAAAAUACCCCCAACGUGACUUAAGUCACGCAGGUGUUAAACCCAACGCAACUUAAGUCACGUUCGCUACAUUGGUACAUCCCACGUGAGUUAUAACCCAGCGUGAGUUAAGUCAUGCAGGUUAUAACCCCAGUGUGAGUCAACUCAUGUCGGUCAUACUUCAGCUUACCAAACGUGAGCUAACACACGUGGGGGGUAUUUUGGUCAGUUUGUAUGGGCGUGAGUGUUUUUUGUUUGGAGAAGAGCAAUUUUAUUAUUCUUUUGAUUCGAGGCUGCUAUUCUGACAACUAUGUUAGUGUGACCAAUAACUAGUUGCAUUAUAUAUGCAUGAAUCUUUUUCAGCAACUAUUGUAAUUUUUUAUAAUGUUUUGACGAACGAUGUGUUUGGAUUGAAGGAUUGGACUACCUACACCAUGGAUGCAAGCCACCCAUAAUACACAGAGAUGUAAAAUCAGCCAACAUUCUUCUAAAUGAAGACUUAGAAGCUAAAAUAGCAGAUUUUGGACUCUCUAAGGUGUUUAAGAAUAGUGAUAUCCAAAAUGCGGAUUCUACAUUGAUUCAUGUUGAUGUGAGUGGCGAAAAAUCUGCAAUCAUGGGGACAAUGGGAUACCUUGAUCCAGAGUGAGUUAUUAUUCCAACUCAGUUCACAAAGUUACAGUUCAACUUAUCCUAAAACUAUUUUCGGUUCAGCUCGAAAACAUUAAACCGAUGCACUGAAACUUUAUACCACCAGUUCGGUUCGGUUUAGGAAGAACCAUUAAUAAUUCUUUUUCUAUUUUACCAGUAUUGAACAAUGAAGGAAAUGAAGAAAAGAGCUUAAAGGAAAAAGUCUAAAUUGUCCUCAUAGCAAAGUAGAUAACUUGCAAUACAAGAAACAAGCUUAGAGGACAAUUUAGACUUUUCCUUUCAUCUUUUUUCUCCAUUUCCUUCAUUGUUCAAUAACCAGACUGUUAAAACGGUUUGGUUCAAUUUUCUUCCAAAGACAAACCAUUAGUCCCACACGUCAUAAAUUAUUUUUAUAAAUGUAUCAGUACAUGAAAACCAUAUAAAAUAAAGUUUCAUCUUAUCAUGGUUUUGUCGAGUGAAUUUAACUGCUUUGUCAUUGAUACAGGUACUACAAAUUACAGACCUUGAAUGAAAAAAGUGACAUCUAUAGCUACGGAAUUGUUCUAUUGGAAUUAAUCACAGGUCUGCCAGCAGUGAUUAAAGGCAAGCCAUCAAAACACAUACUUGAGUUUGUAAGACCACGACUUAAUAAGGACGACUUGAGCAAAGUUAUAGAUCCAAGACUCGAAGGAAAAUUUGAUGUAAGUUCAGGAUGGAAAGUUUUAGGUUUAGCAAUUGCAUGUACUGCAUCAACCUCAAUCCAGAGACCGACAAUGAGUGUCGUGUUAGCUGAGCUGAAACAAUGUGUUAGAAUGGAGUCUCAUAGUGACAGGGAAAUAUUCGUGCCACCGAGAAAUAUAUACAGUGAAUUUUAUAGUUCAUCUGAUGCAUUUAACUCCGUAGAUAGUGAAUCUAUGACAUAUCCUGUCGCUAGGUAAUAGUGUACAUUGAGACACUCAGAAGUAUUCAUUUCAAUUUGUAAAUCUUAAUGAAACCAUAAGAUGAUAAAGAUACUUUACUACAAAUUUAUUUAAUUUUAUUAAAAGUAGUUCUCAUGUUUAGAACUUUUGCAAGAAAAUCAAAUUGUACUUUUACUCUACACUAUGGAUAUUCUUGCUCAUCGUCGCUAUAAGCUUGAUAACCUUAUCUUCUUCAUUCUCAUCCUCAUCUGUUUUCACAAGGUGCUUUAAUGGAUCAAUCCAAAAUUUGUUCUUAAUAAGAUCUGCAAGCUGAUCACCAUACUUCAAUUCAUUUUUCUCCUUUCUGCUAUGAAACCAAUUAAAGAAACUCAACUCAUACGAACUCUGCUCAUGCACGAGCCCAUCAUUCCAUCUGGGACGAGCUACAUUGGGCAUACUUUUUCCCUCAUUCCAUCUGGGACGAGCUAGAUUUGAGAAGUUUCCCGCGCUCAUCAUACACCUCUUUCAUUUUCACGUUGUAUUUCUGCGCUAAUCUCAGAAUUGUAGCCCUCACAUUCUUAUCAAUCUAAAAUCAUAAUUAUCACAUUUUAGUUAAAUUAAAUAAAAAUGAUAAAACACUCUAAAAAUACUCAUCACAUAACCCAUAAACAAGAGUCAAUAUAUAUUUUUUUAUUUUAAUUGAGUUGGGUCUUAGGGUUCACCAAAAUCAAAGAGAGUGGCUAGCAUUACACUUGAUUACAGGAAAGGUAUACGCUAAUAAGUAUCUUAAGAGAAUUGUUUAAGGAAUCUAUUAAAGAAAAUCGUGUUUUGAAAAUACAAGUCAAACAAUUGACAUAGUCAUAAAUACAUGGUUUUCUUUGCAAAAGUUAAUUCUUUUGUGGAUAUAUAUAAGGUGAAUUUUAUAGUUCAUCUGAUGCAUUUAACUCCAUAGAGAGUGAAUCCAUGACAUAUCAUGUCCCUUCUCAUUGUGAAAUGAAUAAUUCGUAAAUAUAUCUCACUUUUAACAUAAACUACAUUACAACCUUGAAAGAAUUCUAAAGUGUGUAGAUAGUGUGAUCUUGAUUGUCUGUUUAGAAUAUCUUCAAGUACAUAGCAAGAUGUAUUCACAUGACGACCGAAGUGGGCAAAUGUUGUGGUUGAGAGCAUGAUCUAUCUUCUCCAAGUCUGUCUCACUUGCAUGGUAGUGGUAAGUUAGUCAAACAUGUAAAUGAAAUGGAUGAUGAUCUGAGCAACCUCUUCGAAAAUGUUUGUUCUUUGAAAAAUUUGUCCAAAUUUAAAAUUUAAGUUGUUUUGUUACUUGAGGGCAUGCAAUAGUUUAAGUUUAGGGCUGUGAUGACAGAUCAUUUUAUGUUAUUUUCAAUAUGUUUUUUAGUCAAUUUAAUAGAAAAUCGAGUCAAUAAAAAGGAGUUUUAGAGAAGUUGCUCUUGAUUUAAGGGACAUUUUAUAAUAUUUUAUAUCUAGUCAUGUAAUUAUAGUUCUUCCCUGAACCAAGCAAUUCAUAGGUGUUUUUGUUGUAUUCUAUUAAAAAUUGUUGGAACAAAAUGUGUUUAACAUUACCCUUUAAGAGUUUUGAUGAUAACAAGGUAUUAAAAAUUGUCAAUUGGAUAUGCUAAUAUUUGUUCAAGCGUACAGGACCAAAGACAAAAAUUUGACAUCUUAAAAAGGUUCUGGAAGAACAAAAGAGAGCAAAGGAAUCAGCAAAAAGGAAGCUUGAAGCAUCUGAAGAGAAGCGCUCCUGAAGACAAAAGUGCUUCUGAAGUGAUGACGUCAUCAGAAGCAAGUUCAUUAGAAGUUGAUCACCAGAAGCUCUAGUUCAUCAGGAGAUGCAAGACUUAAAGAUUCAAAGGCUGUUCAAUGGAUUCAGUAUCGUCUAAGCAUUGCAGAAGACUGAAAGAGUGAAGCAACGACUAAUUUGAGAGGAUUUGAAAGCAUUGUAUGCCUAUUCUUUGAAAAGCGUUGACAAAGUACAAUUGUACAAAGUGUACAAUGUAACACCCCGUUUUCCCAAUAUACAAAUUUCUUAAACAUUUAUCAGAGUAAAAAAACCAUAAACGGGAUAUCACAUAAAAACGUAAUCCAAAAACAGUUAAAUAAUAAUUUAACUUCCACAUAAUAUCUUAACAUAGCAGCGGAAUAUUAGUUCAUAAACCAUAAAUCAGUUUGGCANNNNNNNNNNNNNNNNNNNNNNNNNNNNNNNNNNNNNNNNNNNNNNNNNNNNNNNNNNNNNNNNNNNNNNNNNNNNNNNNNNNNNNNNNNNNNNNNNNNNCUAUAGGUAAACCCACUAGAUCGGAGUAAGCCUCGAGAGUAGGAACCAACUGGAAGUCCGGGAAAGUGAAGCAACGGAAGCUCGGAUCAUAAAAUUGCACUAGGGUGUGCACUAGCUUCUCUUCCACAUCGGUUCGGAGCAAAGUAAGCAAUCCCCCAUACCGGAGUCGGAACCCUGUUUGACUCUUGACCUUAAGUGCCAACUCUCUCAAACUAACCAAAUCCACUUCCUUGAACUUGUAGCACUUAGUCUUCUUCAUACCUGUGAUUAUUUACAAAAAUUUCCAUUUGUUUAAACCCUUCGAUGAAUGCAUGAAAAAUGUUUAUGCAUGUAUGCAUGUAUGCAUGAUUGUGUUGUUAAAGAACAAAGUGGGUUGAGUUUCAAAGUAACGGGGCCACGGAUGGACACGGCGUCCGGUGAACUAAGGCUUUGGAUAGUAGUAACCAAGGUUCUAACACAGUUCCCAAACUGCAACCUCUCUCACAUAUAUCAUGGUAGUACAGGACGACACCCGUUCCAUGAUUAUUUGUGAGAAGGUCUAGUUUGAGUGUAGUAUCGCGUGACGACUAAAGUUUGAGACAACACUCAAUUUAGCCACCGCACUACGUCCUAAAAAGGCUAGGAUGGGUUUGGUAACUACGGUUCAUAGCUUCGUCGAACAAUUGAAAGUGAAGUGCCUAAGCAUGACAACACACGCCGACAAUAUCACCUUCAAAAUGCCUCAGCUAUGUGAGAUUGAUCGCAUAAUCCAAUACACGAGGCAACCCCCGGAUCGAAUUGUCGAUUAUAUCUCUACCUAAACAUAAGUUCACUCAGCCCGGGUAUAGGACUUUUGAUAUUCUCACCCCACACGUCAAAUGAAAAUAAACAAGUAUUCACAUAUGUAAGCAAUAAAACAAAGCGUAAAUAUAAACUAAGGAAAACUAGGCGCGACCCGCUAAAAAGAAUCCCCAGUGAAGUCGCCAUUUCUGUUAUCAUGGUUUUUGGGUGCCAAGCCAUUAAUUGGACUUGAACCUUUCGACCGUUGAUAUCUCUCUUUUUUCUUGGGAAGGGUAAAAGGAGAAAAACCCUUAAAAAGUUUCUAGAUUCCGGGGGUCGUUUUCGCUACGGGAAGGUGUUAGGCACCCGGAGCGAUUAUGGUAUUCCAUAAGAACCGCUCUCCUAAGUUUAUUUCUACGCUUUAGUUUUUAUUGCUUAUUUGUAAAAAAGAAGGUGUGAUUAGUUAAGAAUGGGGGGUGAGAAGAAGUAGAAUUUGAUUUUUUUAUUUCGGCUUGGAUGAGUUUUGACUCAUUGCCUACGUACCCUUUUAAGGGAUCAAAACCGUUCGUAGUUCACUCUCAAAAAUGGUUUUUGUUUUUGUUGGUUGAUUUUAAGUUUUGAAAAAAAGAUUUUGAAGAAAGGAGAUGAGAGGCCUCAAGGGCAUAAGAUUUGGAAAGUGUGAGGUGGAAUUAGUCAUUUUGCAAAAAUAAAGUCCAAGGAGGAUUAAGAUUUAUUGAAAAUUUUACUUAAGAAAAUAAAGGGGGAAAUAAGGAGUUUUGACUCCAUUUUAUUUUCAAAAAGGUUUUCAAGUGUUAUUUGCAUGUUUUGGAAAAAAGUUGAUUUUUAUCUAAGUGUUUAAGCCUAAGCAUUCAUUUAACCAUACAAUCCUAUGCAUACAUCUAAGGUGAGUGUGUGCGUGCCGGUGCGUCAUAGUGUCCAUAGUCCAUAUUACAACAAUUGCCUAAAUACAUUCUAUGGCCCCUUUGCCAAGCUACAAACCAAUGAUAACAAAUUACAUCACUAAAUGGAUUAAAACUUGCAAAAAAUGAAUACUAAACUAAAGGAAGUGAAGGAGAUAGUGGUGACAUGGAGAAAUGCUCAUGAAAUGAAUGGAACAAAAGAAGUGAGAUGAUUAGUAAAAUAAAGCAUAGAAUAAAAGAAGUGCACAAAAAAAAAAAAAAUAUUAAGAGGAAAGACAUAAAAGAGACUAAUAAAGUGACAAAAUGUGCAUGAAAGUGGUCAUAAGGCUCUAGCAUGUGUAUGACCUAUGAUCCCUUCAUUAUGGCAAAUUUUUAGAAGUCUUGCUUUGUGCCAUAAGGUGAGAAUUAAUAGGACAUAUUCAAGCUAAAGCUCAUGACACAUUUUCAAGACAUUUUGCACUUUAUUUAUUAUUAAAACACAUAUUAAUUGCAAGGCAAGAAGAAAAAAUGAGAUUCAAAUUCACAAGCAGCAAGCCACACAUAGGAUCAGCAACAAAUUUAUCAUAAAAUUGCAUUUCAAAAGUUCAAAUCACAUGUCAACAAUUCAUGGGGGAUAUGCUACUAAAAAUGCACAAGUUUAUGUCCAAACACACUAGUUAACCAAGAAAUAUCACAUGUUUUUUUUAUCAUUUUAAAACCAUUGAGAAAUAUAGAAAAAAGUCAUGAAAAUACAUCAAGAAACAUGUGAUAAUUUUUGGAGAUUUUUAGAGAAAAAAUUUAAGCAUGCAGGGGUUCAAACAGCAAAGAAAAAUGGUACAGAUAGCAGAAAAUAAACAAAAACGUAAAGAAAGACUAAGCCCAAACCAAAGCCCAAAACUACAAGGUCCGGAUGCACAGGGAGCGUUGGAUUGAUCUAGGGAGGGAAACCCUAGAUCCAACGCUCAGGAUGGAAGGGAUUGGACCGGUCCUGAACCGGUCCGGUUCAGUUGUCUAUAAAAAGGAAAGAGCACCGGUUUGAUUCAUUUUUCACUCCCCUUUCUCUCUCUACACUCAGAGCUUCUCUCUCUUCUCUCUUCUCUCAACUCACCGGAUUCUGGCAUGGCACGCCGGAGAGGAUGAAGGACCGGCCGGAACCUUCAUAGGUCGUCGGAAACUUCAUCUUCUCCGGUGAAGAUCUAGGGUUCCGCCGUGAAAUUUUUCAGAAACUUAUGAUUUUUACAUCUUUUGAUUCGUCCUUUAACCCUAAACACGAAUCCAGCAAUUAUUUUCUCAUACACAGCUUGAAACGACGUAGAUCUGAAAAUUUCCGUACGGUUUUGAAAUUGAUUUUUUUGAUUUCUUUUGAAAGAAAACGUUUAGAUCCUUAAGGAUCUACAUCGUUUCGUCGCUUUAAUGCUUUUCUGGUACUUGUUCUUGCUUUCAAAACUUAGAUCCUUAUGGAUCUAGGUUUUGUGUUUACGGUUAUGACUUUCUUUGAAUUCUGGAAAUUUCUUGAUAUGCUUUUGCUUGCGUGAUUGUUUACCGGUUCAAACUAUGAUUAACACCUUUGAAAAAGAGAUUAUGAGUUUUACCUAAGGUUUUGGUUGAAACCUUUAAUGGAGGAAAUCUUUGGAAAUCUUGAUUCUGUUCUUGAUGAUUUUGAUGAUUUUGCUUGCUUUUGGACCGAAAAUAAAUCGGUUUACCGGUUCUGCUUCUUCAUCUUCUCUGAUUCUUUCUCUACUUCUUUCUCUGUGAUUUCGUGUUUGAGCUUGCUUCAAUGCUUCUUGGAUCUGCGUGAAAAAUCCCUAUGAUCAGUGCUUGAGCUUGCUUCAAUGUGAGCUCGCACCUUGAAUUGUAGGAGAAUUCUUCAAUCCGGUGAUGAAGAUUCACACGAAUCUCUGAGGAUUGAUGCGAAAAUUGUUGAUUCUGAUGAAUUUUUGAGUUUCUGGAAAACGGUUAGGGUUUUUGUUCUUGGUGUUCUUGAGAAAUUCUGAGAAAUUUUCUGUUUCUGAUCCAACUGAAUGGAGAGAGAGAAUCUGAUUGUGUUUAUGAGUUGGCGUGUGAUCCUUGGCUCUGAAUCUGACUCACUGUAUUUAUAGCUGACAUGUGUGCAUUGGAACCAAUAGGAAACUGACAUGUGGCAUUGGAAUGAGAAAGGGGGCGCUGCCCUAUAAUUCUGACUUGAAGGACCUGUUUGCAAUUUUAAAAGAAAUAGGGACUAAACUGCAAAAUUAAAAACAGAACUAAAAAAAUAUAAAAAUUGGACAAUUUGGACUUAAAUGUAAUUUUAACAAAAUUAAGGGACUAAAAUGCAAAGUAAAAAUAAAAUGAAUUAAAAUUUGUAAUUUUGACCAAACGUAAAGUGAACCUAAAAUAAAAUCAACAAACGGACUAAAACGAACCAAUGGCCUAAAUGAGGUACUUCAAAGUAACCUCUCUAUGCCAAAAUUUUGUGUGAAAUGACCAAAAUGCCCCUAGGGCUAAAAUUGACCUAAACAGACUCAAAUUGACUUAACACUGACUCAGAUGCAAGUUUGAAAUGAAUUUAACAAGAUUUUCUGACGAAAGGUUAACAAACAAUCUGAAAAAGACUCAGAGACAGUCACAAGGAUGAAAAUGGGUCCCACUGCAGGAAAUGACCAAAAUACCCUUCUGUAUGACCUUUUUUGCAAAUUUUGAAAUAAACUGUAGAAAAAGCAAUGUAAUGAUUCAGAGACACUUUUGAAUGACUUAUAAGACAAGUAAAGACAUUUCAAAAGGUUUUAUGCAAGAAAAACAUAGAUGAAAUUGUGAUUGAAAAUACUGCGAGGCAGAGACAAAUUGAACUGUGCAGUUGAAAUUUGAUAACUGACAAAGUUUGAAAUGAAAUUGGGCCCAGUAUUUUUAGGUCCAAAAACAGGGUAUAACAGCUGCCCCUAUUUAAGUUUCUUUGUCUGGACAGUCAAGAGACGGAGUCUUUGGCUUGACAGGACGAAGAUACUUAAAUAUUAGCAUUUGCACUGUGUUUGGACGUAAAAAUACGCCUACCCAUUUUCAAAUAAUAUGCAUGCCAUGCAUCAUUUGGAUUAUGAAUGCAAGACCUCAUGGGAAUUGGAAUUAACAAAAUAUGUCGUAUCCAUUGCGGGAUUGGUAGACAUUGACAAAGAUAGAGUAACGGGAAACUAGAAGCAAGCUGGACAGGUACAAGCUGUUUUUGGAUUCAAACUAGCCACUUGACCGGGAAUGAAACAAACAGACAACUGCGAGUUGUUCUUAUGGAUUCGAACUAGUAACUUCACAGGGGAUAGAGGUUACUGGACAAACAUGAGUUGUUCUUAUGGAUUCGAACUGGUAACUCACUUGGGGAUAUUUGAAAGUGCGAGUUGUUCUUAUGGAUUCGAACUGGUGACUCGACUGGGAACACGUAAAAUUGGCAGGUACGAGUUGUUCUUAUGGAUUCGAACUGGUGACUCGACUGGAAAAGGAGAAAAUUGACAAGUACGAGUUGUUCUUAUGGAUUCGAACUGGUGACUCGACUGGAAAAGGAGAAAAUUGACAAGUACGAGUUGUUCUUAUGGAUUCGAACUGGUGACUCGACUGGAAAAGGAGAAAAUUGACAAGUACGAGUUGUUCUUAUGGAUUCGAACUGGUGACUCGACUGAAACCAAGGCAAAUAGACAGGUGCGAGCUUGUUCUUGGAUGCGAACUGGUUACUCCACUGGAGACAAACAGAUAGAUAGGUACAAGCUGCUCUUGGAUUGAGCUAGUCACUUGACCAAACGGAAACAUAUUGACAGGUACAAGCUGCUCUUGGAUUGAGCUGGACACUCGACCGAUAACAUAAGCAAAUUGAUAGGUACAAGCUGUUCUUGGACUUGAACUAGCCACUUGACCAAACAGAAACAUAUUCACUGGGGAUUAGUUUGUUUGACAAAAUAUAGAUUGAGAUUGACUUGACGUCGAUUUGAUUUGAAAGGUAGAAAUUGAGACUGAUGUUGACAUUGGAAAUGCGAUAUGCAUGGAUGAUAUAACAGUUUCAUUAAAUGCAUGGGUACGCAAUAUGCAUGAUUAUGCAUGUAUGAAUGCUUGUAACGCAUGACUGUUGGCAGUUUGUAGGCACGACUUCACGGGGAAGACAAGACAUUAGAGUAUUGGGCACAUAGUGGCUCGUGCUAUAUUACACAUUCUUGGAAAUCCUCUUUGGAGAUGACGUCGUUGGGAGACGUGUCGGAACCAUAGCUGAGGGCAGGUAGAUAUGCAACUUGCUGGAGAUAGAGUCUUGGAAGACCUGACUGGGGAAAAUGCCGUUGUGCUGGGCAUUUCAGUGCUGGGUAUGUUGUAGACAUCGCAUCUGUGGUCAAUGCUUUUUGCAUGUUAUAUUCUCAAUUUCAUUCAUUCAUUUUUUGCAUCCCAUUUUUGCCUGGAUCGCCCUUUCGGGUUUUCGAUCCACCAGGGAAAUAAAUUCUUUUCAAUGCCCCAUUUUUGCCUGAACUGCCCUUUCGGGUUUUCAAUCCAGCGGGGUGCUCAUUCUUGCCUAAGCCGCCCUUCCGGGUUUUCAACUUAGCGAGCCUUUUCAUUUUCAUGCAUUUUUGUUCUGUUUUUUCAUUCUUGCCAUUGACCACAGACUAUCCUGGAGGAGAACCUGCUUGUAACACAUAUUGAAAUAGACAUCAACAUACUCUCACUCAUGCAUGUUUCAUUUGAAUGUACCCUGUUGCUCAGGUUUGCUUUUCAAAAUAGACAAAAGUUUUCAAUUUUCAAAAUGUUUGUUUCAACCAUUGUCAUUAUCAAAAUAGAAAGAAAAUGUUUUGUAUAUAGCUUAGAAAAUAGAAGAAAAUAGAGUUUUCAAACAAAAGCAAAGGCUCAACUUGAUGUAUAAGAGUGGUGGUCAGCCAAAGGCAUGACUCCACGGAUUCACAAAGCUUGGAAAAUGGUAAUUUUAUUGGUUGGUGGUACAUUGAACACGGUAACCACUACAGUUCUUAGAAACUUUGAAUUCACAAGUACAGAAGCUUUUGAUGAAGAUAGGCAUUAACAGCUGCAGAUGCCCCAAGGGGGACGGCGGUUGGCCAGAUAUAGUUACUUGCCUUUCAUUUCAAUCUCGUUUUUGCAUGAACCGCCCUUUCGGGUUUUCGGCUCAUCGAGACGCUCAUUCUUGCCUGAGUUGUGUACAAUCUCAGCGAGCUUUUCAUAUUUGUUUUUUGUCCCUUAUUUUUGCCUGGACCGCCCUUUCGGGUUUUCGAUCCACCGGGAAGCGCAUUUUUGCCUAGGCCGCCCUUUCGGGUUUUCGACCUACCACGCUGUUCUUUUCAUAUUUCUAGGCAAAGUAUUUCUUGACUAUAUCGGCAUUCACUGGAUUUGGAAGUUCCACACCAUCCAUGUGUGUAAGGAUUAAAGCACCACCGGAGAAGGCCUUCUUGACAACAUAAGGACCUUCAUAGUUAGGCGUCCACUUGCCCCUUGGGUCGGGUUGCUGGCUUAUCCUCCUUUUCAAUACAAGUUCCCCUACCUUGAAUUCUCGAGGAUGGACUUUCUUGUCAAAAGCAGUCUUCAUUCUUGCUUGAUAUGACUGUCCACGAGCCAUGGCAUCCAUACGUUUUUCCUCAAUCAAAUUCAACUGAUCAAACCGGCUUUGGCACCAUUCAGCCUCAGAUAACUUUGCUUCCAUGAUCACACGGAGGGAUGGGAUCUCCACUUCCAAAGGAAGAACUGCUUCCAUACCAUAUACAAGAGAGAAAGGGGUUGCCCCGGUUGAACUGCGCACGGUAGUGCGGUAGCCAUGCAGAGCAUAGGGUAACAUCUCAUGCCAGUCCUUGUAAGUGGUUACCAUCUUCUGGACAAUUCUCUUGAUAUUCUUGUUGGCGGCCUCAACUGCACCAUUCAUCUGAGGUCUAUAAGGAGAAGAGUUAUGAUGCUCGAUUUUGAAUUCUUCACAAAGAGCUUGCACCACAUUGUUGUUCAGGUUGGUACCAUUGUCGGUAAUAAUCUUGCUGGGAACACCAUAUCGACAGAUGAUGUUGUUCUUGAUGAACUUAGCUACCACUUGCUUGGUCACAUUGGUAUAAGAUGCUGCUUCGACCCACUUGGUGAAGUAGUCAAUUGCCACUAAGAUGAAACGAUGACCAUUUGAAGCCUUCGGUUCAAUCCUUCCAAUCAUAUCGAUGCCCCACAUUGAGAACGGCCAUGGGGAUGACAUAACAUUGAGAGCGUGCGGAGGCACAUGAAUCUUAUCAGCAUAGAUUUGACAUUUGUGGCAUUUUCUGGCGUAUUGGUAGCAAUCAUGCUCCAUGGCCAUCCAGUAGUAACCUGCCCGUAGCAACUUCCUUGACAUAGUAUGCCCUGUAGCAUGGGUCCCGAAGCUACCGUCAUGUACAUCAUGCAUUAACUGCUCUGCUUCAUGUUCAUCAACACAUCUUAACAAUACCAUGUCAUAGUUCCUCUUGUACAGAAUAUCUCCAUUUAACAGGAAUCUACUGGCCAAUCUUCUCAAGGUCUUCUUGUCUUGUUUGGAAGCACCUGACGGAUACUCACGGCUCAGCAAGAACUGUUUGAUGUCGUAGUACCAGGGUCUAUAGUCAACCACAUUUUCACCAGCCUGAUCGAUCACAUCCCCAAUAGCAAACACAUGUGAAGGUCUUUCAAGGCGUUGCACUUUGAUUAUUGGCACAUCAUUCCAAUGGUUUACUCGAAACAUGGAGGAUAGAGUAGCAAGAGCAUCAGCCAUUUGGUUCUCAUCACGAGGAAUAUGGUGCAGCUCAACCUUUGUAAAAUAUGUCAGCAAACGUCUCGCAUAAUCACGAUAAGGAAUCAGCUUAGCAUGGUGUGUCUCCCAUUCACCCUUUAUCUGAUUGAUGACGAGCGCAGAAUCUCCAUAGAUGUCGAGGUGUUUGAUUCUCAUGUCAAUUGCUUCCUCGAUCCCAAAGAUACAUGCCUCAUACUCAGCCAUGUUGUUGGUACAUUCAAACAAAAUUCGGGCGGUAAAAGGGAUAUGAUGCCCCUGCGGGGAUACAAUGACUGCCCCAAUUCCUUUACCAUAAGCAUUGACAGCACCAUCAAAGACUAAACCCCACCUGCUAUUGGGAUCUGGACCUUCAUUAAUCAACGGUUCUUCGCAGUCUUUUGAUUUCAAAUACAUGAUCUCUUCAUCGGGGAAGUCGAAUUCAAUUGGUUGAUAAUCAUCAAGAGGUUGGUAAGCAAGGUGAUCGGCAAGAAUGCUACCUUUGAUUGCCUUUUGAGUUUUGAACACAAUAUCAUAUUCAGACAAAAGCAUCUGCCAGCGUGCAAUCUUCCCAGUAACAGCAGCUUUCUCAAAGAUAUACUUUAUCGGAUCCAUUCUGGAUAUCAGCCAAGUUGUAUGAUUCACCAAGUAAUGACGCAGGCGUUUGGCAGCCCAAGCUAGAGCACAACAAGUCCUCUCAAGCAUUGUAUACCGAGUUUCACAGUCGGUGAACUUCUUGCUUAGAUAGUAGAUAGCAUGCUCUUUCUUUCCAGUUUCAUCUUGUUGACCAAGCACGCAUCCCAUGGAUUCAUCAAAUACUGCCAAAUACAUGAUCAAAGGCCUUCCUUCCACGGGUGGGACAAGGAUAGGUGGUUCCAGCAGGUAAUUCUUGAUGCUAUCAAAAGCUUCUUGGCAUUCAUCAUUCCAUACAACAGGCUGGUUCUUUCUAAGCAGCUUGAAGAUCGGCCCGCAGGUUGCGGUCAUAUGAGAUAUGAAUCGGGAGAUGUAAUUCAAACGCCCGAGGAAACCUCUGACUUGCUUCUCAGUCUGUGGAGCUGGCAUUUCUCGGAUGGCCCGGACUUUAUCAGGAUCGACUUCAAUGCCCUUUUGGCUGACAAUGAAGCCUAAUAACUUCCCGGAUCUGACGCCGAAUGUACAUUUGUUGGGAUUCAAUCGAAGCUUGUAUUUUCUCAACCUUUCAAACAUCCUUGUCAAAUACUCAACAUGUUGUUCCUCAUCUGUUGACUUCACAAUCAUGUCAUCCACGUAUACUUCGACUUCUUUGUGAAUCAUGUCAUGAAACAAAGUAGUCAUUCCCCUUUGGUAGGUAGCACCAGCAUUAAUUAGACCGAAUGGCAUCACUUUGUAGCAGAAAGUACCCCAUGGAGUGAUAAAAGAUGUCUUUUCUCUAUCUUCAGGAGACAUUUUGAUCUGAUUAUAACCGGAGAAACCGUCCAUGAAGGAGAACACCUUAGACUGAGCAGUAUUAUCAACAAGCACAUCAAUAUGAGGUAACGGAAAGUUGUCUUUCGGACUGGCUUUGUUCAGGUCUCUGAAGUCAACACACAUCCGGACUUUACCAUCCUUCUUUGGCACAGGCACAAUAUUGGCAACCCAUUCAGGGUACUCAACUGUCAUGAGGAAACCUGCAUCAAUCUGCUUUUGGACUUCAUUCUUGAUCUUGAGGGCCAUGUCUGGAUGAGUCCUUCUCAAUUUCUGCCUGACGGGAGGACAUUCAGGCUUGGUGGGGAUCCGAUGCUCCACAAUCGUAGGGUCUAGACCUGGCAUAUCUUCAUACGACCAUGCGAAAAUAUCCGGAUAUUCCCGGAGGAGUUGGAUAAUCCUCUUUUUAACCCCUUCCUCUAGAGUAGCACCAAUCUUGAUUUCUCGCUUGUUUUCCUCGGUACCUAUGUUGAUAAGCUCAAUCUCUUCUUGGUGAGGCUGAAUGGCUUUCUUCUCUUGCUCAAGUAACCGAGUAAUCUCAUAUGGUAUGUCAUCACCUUCCUCAUCUUCGGCUUCAUACACAGGGAAUUCAAAAUUUGGAGGAACCGUAGGAUUACUGUGUUCAACGGGUUUAUUAUGGUUCAACCUGCAUAUAAUGAUUGCUCCAGCACUUUCAACAAGGUAUUCCUGUGAGCCUCAGAGCUCAAGAGUAAUGACAAGACAGAUAUCUUCGAAGGAGUCUGCAGCAACUGAUCAACGAUCUUGUAGUCGCUCCUCUUUAUUAUUCUCAGAAUCUCAUCUAAAUUCGAAUCCUCUAUAGAUUUGCCGGACUGGUUCACAUCUGUAGCAAUGGGUGAAACCACGGUUGGAGUUGCUUCUUCAACUGGUGGAAUGGUCGGCGUAGCUACCUUCUUCUGAAAUAAUGGCGGACGAACCUUCCCGCUUCUUAGUGCUGCAGAAGUCCCUUCGGCAAUAUUGCUUACUGUGGCAAAGGAGGCUAGAGGCACCUCUACUCCAUUUUCUAUCAUAGUAGCAUUGUACUUGUAUGGCACUGCCUUGUCCGAAACAUAAGGAAUUGGUCCUGGCAGCCUUAUCACCAAAGGUUCAGCAUUCUUCUUCAAAGGUACACUCUUGACAGGCGGAUCGUGAAAAACUGGCACAAUCACGCAAACAUCACUGACAGUCAGAAGAUUAUCAUUCAUCAAGCUUUGGAUGUCGUCUUGAACAGCAUGGCAACCCAAAGGAUCACGGAGGCAUCCUAGACACUUGGCAUGAUCAUGGCUGAACAGAGAAGCUUUGCACAGCUUGAUGUGUAGAGGCACCAGAGGAGUUGCGACGUUGCGGACAUCAAGUCUAGGAGCUUCCUCACACACUUCGAUCAUAUUCACAGCGGCAUGAUUUGGUAGCGGAUUGUCGAGGACAUGUGGAACAUUAUUCUCAAAAGUCAGCUUUCCCUGAUCAAUGAGCUUCUUCACGAUAUACUUCAAAGCAUAACACCCCUCGACAUCAUGACCUAAGGCACCUUGAUGAAAAUCACAUUUGAGAUCAGACCUGAACCUUGGAGGCAACGGAUCAGGUGGGGGCUUUCCUUGUCUAGUCGUGCAGUGUCCUCUCUGGAGUAAAGUUGGAAGCAACUCAGCAUAUAACAUCGGUAUAGGAGGAAAAGUUGGUCUGGUAUAUUGCUGCUGCUGUUGUUGUUGUUGUUGUUGUUGUUGAACCGGCAACUGUUGUUUCAUCUGUUGGGCAAUUGCAUUGACGGGCACUUGAGGUUGACCCGGUGGCAGGGGGUACUGAUGGUAAAACGGUGGGAAGAAAGGAUGCUGAGAAUACGGCAUGUAUGGGUAUGACGGAGGCAUUUGAGCUGCAUUGAUAGGAGCAACAGUAGUCAUUGAUUGACCGGCUCCAGCUGACACCAUCCCCACUUCCGUUUCUUUCUUCUUGUGGUGUCCAUUACCAUAUCUCUUCGACGCAUUCACAGAGGAUUCAGCUUUCUCAAACACAAUGAUUCCAUCCCUGACGGCUUCCUCAAGACGGGUUCCCAUAGUGACCAUCUCCGAAAAGUUGUUCGGGGCAGCGAUGAUCAUCCUCUCAACAUAAUCUUUCUUCAAGGUUUUUAAGAAUGUCUGGGUCAUUUCUUCUUCAUCUAAAGCAGGAGUGAUACGGGCAGCUGCCCCUCUCCACCUUUGCGCAUAUUCCCGGAAACUUUCCUCCUUUUUCUGAGAUAGGGACCUGAGAAACUCCCUAUUCGGCUUCAAUCGAGUGUUAAACCCGUAGUGGCUCUUGAAAGCAGUGGCUAGCUCAUCAAAAGUAUGGACAUCAUCUUUGCUCAGACUAGUAUACCACUCCGCAGCAUCUUCCAUCAGACUGUCUUGGAAGUAAUGGAUCAUAAGGGAAUCAUUGUCCUUGUAGUUGCCCAUCUUCCGGACGUAUUUGACAAUAUGAUUUUGAGGACAAGUCAGCCCGUUAUACUUGUCGAACUCCGGGACUUUGAACUUUUUAGGAACAUCCACUUUCGAUACUAAGCAGAGAUCCUGGGUUUUAAUGGAGUCUCAAUUUCCCCUGUUGGCCUUAAUUUCCCGUCGGAGCUCUUCGGCAAGUUCUGCCAUUCUCUCUUCCAUAGUUCCGGUUGUGGCAAUACUCCCGUGGUGCGCAUUAGCAUGGGCAAAUAGAGGCACCGCAUUCACAAUGGGCUCGGUAACAGUUGUUGCCGCUUGAGUCAAGGCGGUACUCACAGGAGUUAAGUUUGCCCCUGAGAUUGGGCCACUGUUGGUAGUACCAGAGGUCCCUGCCCCUGUAUUAGCAGUAUAGUACAGCGGAAGUCCGUAAGGAUACCCGGAUGGCAUGAUAAAGCGGGGAUCAGUUGUUACUGUAGGAGUCACAUUUGCAGCUGUAGAAACUACGGGAACUGGUUGUUCCUGAGCAGCCAACAGAGCAGUCAUAGCAUCAUGAGCUUUGGCCAAUUCCUCCCUUAAAGAUGCCAAUUCGGUACGAAGCUGCGUGUUCUCUUCUUCCAUAGCCCUUUUCUUUCUUCUGUAUUCUCUGGUUCGAUCGGUUCUAUUAGGUUCAUAAACUCUCUGAGCACGAGCCACUUUUCACACUGAGGCAGAGAAACCAGGAGAUAGUGAGCACCUGGAAGUCUUUGUGACCAAUGCAUGAUGCAUAUGAUGCAUGAUAUGCAAAUGCAAAUGCAAAAGACUUAUUAUUAUUUUUUUUUCGAAGGGUUUUUAAACAAAUUAGAAAUCUUGCAAAUAAUCAAAGCUACAUAGCAUUUUCAAAAGGAAGACUUUGAAACUUCAACAAGAUAAACAAAUGAAGCCCUCAAGCAUAGGAAGUAGUCGGAGGAUCAUCGGACUCGGAAUCUGAAUCACAGUAUCUGGCGAAGAAGUCUCGCCGUCCUCUGGCUCUCUUGGAAUCCCUCAUAAGCAGCUCGUCUUUCUCUUCCAAUUCCCUCCGGGCCUUAGCUAGUUCUUUCUUCAACAUUAGAUUCUCAUGAGUCUUCUGCUCAUCUCUACCAUCCAAAGUCAUGAUUAGAUUCUCGGCUUGAUUGUACCGAGCUUUCCAUACUUGCUUCUCACGACUCUCCAUGGCUAGGUGCUCCUGAUACAUAUCCUGAGUCGCAGGGAGCAGAGGUAGAGGCAUAGAUGGAGUAGACGAAGACACGUAUCUCAUAGCUGGAUAAGGCAUACCAAUCUCCUCAGCUCGAUCUAUCACCCACUGAGUGUAGGCCUCAUGAGCAACACCGGAUCUUACACCUAGAUGCUUCACACUCUUCCUUCGGACCUUAGACCAAGCAUCCAUGAAAGCUUUCCUUUGUCCGGUAGGAGCAUUCGUGUAGAAGAAGAACUCUGGAGAUGUAGCAAGAUUGAUGGGCUUCGACUUCAUAGGGAAACCAAACUGUCUCAUAGCAAGCUCGGGGUUGUAGUUGAUUCCUCCACGGGUACCAAGAAGAGGUACAUUGAGAAAGUCUCCACAACCCAUAAUGAUUUCCUUCACCUGAGCGGCAGGAGUGAGCCAGACGACCUCAUUAGGAGUGAGGGCCAUAAUCCGCUGCGAGUAGGACCAGUUCUCCGAGUUGUCAUGGAAGGAACUCGGAAGGUGCGAAAUAAACCACCUAUACAAAAGAGAUAUGCAGCAAAGAAUAUACCCACGGCCCUUGAGAGUCCUGUCAUGAAUGGCGUGGUAGGUAUCCGCUAGCAAAGUAGGAACCGGGUUCUUGGAAUGGAAGACCUCGAUAGCAUUCAUGUCCACGAAGUUGUCGAGGUUCGGAAAGAGAAUGAGCCCGUAGAUAAGCAAAGCAAGAAUAGCCUCGAGUGUAUCCUGACAAGUAGUACUGAGAUUAGCCUGCUCAAGAAGAUACUUUGAAGUGAACCCCCGGAUGUGAGACUUGGUAAUAAGAUGGUUGGAGACGUCGGAAGUCUUGAGGUAGAGAUCCUUAGCAAUAACCAGAGGAGUAAGAGAAGUCCCGGGACCGGUGAAAGGCGUCUUCUCGGCUAUAGGUAAACCCACUAGAUCGGAGUAAGCCUCGAGAGUAGGAACCAACUGGAAGUCCGGGAAAGUGAAGCAACGGAAGCUCGGAUCAUAAAAUUGCACUAGGGUGUGCACUAGCUUCUCUUCCACAUCGGUUCGGAGCAAAGUAAGCAAUCCCCCAUACCGGAGUCGGAACCCUGUUUGACUCUUGACCUUAAGUGCCAACUCUCUCAAACUAACCAAAUCCACUUCCUUGAACUUGUAGCACUUAGUCUUCUUCAUACCUGUGAUUAUUUACAAAAAUUUCCAUUUGUUUAAACCCUUCGAUGAAUGCAUGAAAAAUGUUUAUGCAUGUAUGCAUGUAUGCAUGAUUGUGUUGUUAAAGAACAAAGUGGGUUGAGUUUCAAAGUAACGGGGCCACGGAUGGACACGGCGUCCGGUGAACUAAGGCUUUGGAUAGUAGUAACCAAGGUUCUAACACAGUUCCCAAACUGCAACCUCUCUCACAUAUAUCAUGGUAGUACAGGACGACACCCGUUCCAUGAUUAUUUGUGAGAAGGUCUAGUUUGAGUGUAGUAUCGCGUGACGACUAAAGUUUGAGACAACACUCAAUUUAGCCACCGCACUACGUCCUAAAAAGGCUAGGAUGGGUUUGGUAACUACGGUUCAUAGCUUCGUCGAACAAUUGAAAGUGAAGUGCCUAAGCAUGACAACACACGCCGACAAUAUCACCUUCAAAAUGCCUCAGCUAUGUGAGAUUGAUCGCAUAAUCCAAUACACGAGGCAACCCCCGGAUCGAAUUGUCGAUUAUAUCUCUACCUAAACAUAAGUUCACUCAGCCCGGGUAUAGGACUUUUGAUAUUCUCACCCCACACGUCAAAUGAAAAUAAACAAGUAUUCACAUAUGUAAGCAAUAAAACAAAGCGUAAAUAUAAACUAAGGAAAACUAGGCGCGACCCGCUAAAAAGAAUCCCCAGUGAAGUCGCCAUUUCUGUUAUCAUGGUUUUUGGGUGCCAAGCCAUUAAUUGGACUUGAACCUUUCGACCGUUGAUAUCUCUCUUUUUUCUUGGGAAGGGUAAAAGGAGAAAAACCCUUAAAAAGUUUCUAGAUUCCGGGGGUCGUUUUCGCUACGGGAAGGUGUUAGGCACCCGGAGCGAUUAUGGUAUUCCAUAAGAACCGCUCUCCUAAGUUUAUUUCUACGCUUUAGUUUUUAUUGCUUAUUUGUAAAAAAGAAGGUGUGAUUAGUUAAGAAUGGGGGGUGAGAAGAAGUAGAAUUUGAUUUUUUUAUUUCGGCUUGGAUGAGUUUUGACUCAUUGCCUACGUACCCUUUUAAGGGAUCAAAACCGUUCGUAGUUCACUCUCAAAAAUGGUUUUUGUUUUUGUUGGUUGAUUUUAAGUUUUGAAAAAAAGAUUUUGAAGAAAGGAGAUGAGAGGCCUCAAGGGCAUAAGAUUUGGAAAGUGUGAGGUGGAAUUAGUCAUUUUGCAAAAAUAAAGUCCAAGGAGGAUUAAGAUUUAUUGAAAAUUUUACUUAAGAAAAUAAAGGGGGAAAUAAGGAGUUUUGACUCCAUUUUAUUUUCAAAAAGGUUUUCAAGUGUUAUUUGCAUGUUUUGGAAAAAAGUUGAUUUUUAUCUAAGUGUUUAAGCCUAAGCAUUCAUUUAACCAUACAAUCCUAUGCAUACAUCUAAGGUGAGUGUGUGCGUGCCGGUGCGUCAUAGUGUCCAUAGUCCAUAUUACAACAAUUGCCUAAAUACAUUCUAUGGCCCCUUUGCCAAGCUACAAACCAAUGAUAACAAAUUACAUCACUAAAUGGAUUAAAACUUGCAAAAAAUGAAUACUAAACUAAAGGAAGUGAAGGAGAUAGUGGUGACAUGGAGAAAUGCUCAUGAAAUGAAUGGAACAAAAGAAGUGAGAUGAUUAGUAAAAUAAAGCAUAGAAUAAAAGAAGUGCACAAAAAAAAAAAAAAUAUUAAGAGGAAAGACAUAAAAGAGACUAAUAAAGUGACAAAAUGUGCAUGAAAGUGGUCAUAAGGCUCUAGCAUGUGUAUGACCUAUGAUCCCUUCAUUAUGGCAAAUUUUUAGAAGUCUUGCUUUGUGCCAUAAGGUGAGAAUUAAUAGGACAUAUUCAAGCUAAAGCUCAUGACACAUUUUCAAGACAUUUUGCACUUUAUUUAUUAUUAAAACACAUAUUAAUUGCAAGGCAAGAAGAAAAAAUGAGAUUCAAAUUCACAAGCAGCAAGCCACACAUAGGAUCAGCAACAAAUUUAUCAUAAAAUUGCAUUUCAAAAGUUCAAAUCACAUGUCAACAAUUCAUGGGGGAUAUGCUACUAAAAAUGCACAAGUUUAUGUCCAAACACACUAGUUAACCAAGAAAUAUCACAUGUUUUUUUUAUCAUUUUAAAACCAUUGAGAAAUAUAGAAAAAAGUCAUGAAAAUACAUCAAGAAACAUGUGAUAAUUUUUGGAGAUUUUUAGAGAAAAAAUUUAAGCAUGCAGGGGUUCAAACAGCAAAGAAAAAUGGUACAGAUAGCAGAAAAUAAACAAAAACGUAAAGAAAGACUAAGCCCAAACCAAAGCCCAAAACUACAAGGUCCGGAUGCACAGGGAGCGUUGGAUUGAUCUAGGGAGGGAAACCCUAGAUCCAACGCUCAGGAUGGAAGGGAUUGGACCGGUCCUGAACCGGUCCGGUUCAGUUGUCUAUAAAAAGGAAAGAGCACCGGUUUGAUUCAUUUUUCACUCCCCUUUCUCUCUCUACACUCAGAGCUUCUCUCUCUUCUCUCUUCUCUCAACUCACCGGAUUCUGGCAUGGCACGCCGGAGAGGAUGAAGGACCGGCCGGAACCUUCAUAGGUCGUCGGAAACUUCAUCUUCUCCGGUGAAGAUCUAGGGUUCCGCCGUGAAAUUUUUCAGAAACUUAUGAUUUUUACAUCUUUUGAUUCGUCCUUUAACCCUAAACACGAAUCCAGCAAUUAUUUUCUCAUACACAGCUUGAAACGACGUAGAUCUGAAAAUUUCCGUACGGUUUUGAAAUUGAUUUUUUUGAUUUCUUUUGAAAGAAAACGUUUAGAUCCUUAAGGAUCUACAUCGUUUCGUCGCUUUAAUGCUUUUCUGGUACUUGUUCUUGCUUUCAAAACUUAGAUCCUUAUGGAUCUAGGUUUUGUGUUUACGGUUAUGACUUUCUUUGAAUUCUGGAAAUUUCUUGAUAUGCUUUUGCUUGCGUGAUUGUUUACCGGUUCAAACUAUGAUUAACACCUUUGAAAAAGAGAUUAUGAGUUUUACCUAAGGUUUUGGUUGAAACCUUUAAUGGAGGAAAUCUUUGGAAAUCUUGAUUCUGUUCUUGAUGAUUUUGAUGAUUUUGCUUGCUUUUGGACCGAAAAUAAAUCGGUUUACCGGUUCUGCUUCUUCAUCUUCUCUGAUUCUUUCUCUACUUCUUUCUCUGUGAUUUCGUGUUUGAGCUUGCUUCAAUGCUUCUUGGAUCUGCGUGAAAAAUCCCUAUGAUCAGUGCUUGAGCUUGCUUCAAUGUGAGCUCGCACCUUGAAUUGUAGGAGAAUUCUUCAAUCCGGUGAUGAAGAUUCACACGAAUCUCUGAGGAUUGAUGCGAAAAUUGUUGAUUCUGAUGAAUUUUUGAGUUUCUGGAAAACGGUUAGGGUUUUUGUUCUUGGUGUUCUUGAGAAAUUCUGAGAAAUUUUCUGUUUCUGAUCCAACUGAAUGGAGAGAGAGAAUCUGAUUGUGUUUAUGAGUUGGCGUGUGAUCCUUGGCUCUGAAUCUGACUCACUGUAUUUAUAGCUGACAUGUGUGCAUUGGAACCAAUAGGAAACUGACAUGUGGCAUUGGAAUGAGAAAGGGGGCGCUGCCCUAUAAUUCUGACUUGAAGGACCUGUUUGCAAUUUUAAAAGAAAUAGGGACUAAACUGCAAAAUUAAAAACAGAACUAAAAAAAUAUAAAAAUUGGACAAUUUGGACUUAAAUGUAAUUUUAACAAAAUUAAGGGACUAAAAUGCAAAGUAAAAAUAAAAUGAAUUAAAAUUUGUAAUUUUGACCAAACGUAAAGUGAACCUAAAAUAAAAUCAACAAACGGACUAAAACGAACCAAUGGCCUAAAUGGGGUACUUCAAAGUAACCUCUCUAUGCCAAAAUUUUGUGUGAAAUGACCAAAAUGCCCCUAGGGCUAAAAUUGACCUAAACAGACUCAAAUUGACUUAACACUGACUCAGAUGCAAGUUUGAAAUGAAUUUAACAAGAUUUUCUGAAGAAAGGUUAACAAACAAUCUGAAAAAGACUCAGAGACAGUCACAAGGAUGAAAAUGGGUCCCACUGCAGGAAAUGACCAAAAUACCCUUCUGUAUGACCUUUUUUGCAAAUUUUGAAAUAAACUGUAGAAAAAGCAAUGUAAUGAUUCAGAGACACUUUUGAAUGACUUAUAAGACAAGUAAAGACAUUUCAAAAGGUUUUAUGCAAGAAAAACAUAGAUGAAAUUGUGAUUGAAAAUACUGCGAGGCAGAGACAAAUUGAACUGUGCAGUUGAAAUUUGAUAACUGACAAAGUUUGAAAUGAAAUUGGGCCCAGUAUUUUUAGGUCCAAAAACAGGGUAUAACACCUACUUAUUUAAAAGAAAAUUUACUUAUGUUAAGAAUGGGGGGGAGAAAGUGUUUUGAGGUUUUAUUUUAGUGGACUUGGAGAGGUUUUGACCUCAUGCCUACAUACCCAUUUAAUGGAUCAAACUCCAUGUAGUUCUCUUUCAAAAAAUGUUUUUUUGUGUGUUUGGUUGAUUUUAGUUUUUGUUGGAAAAUGGUUUUGAAGAAGAGAAAGAGGCCUUAAAGGCAUAAGAGAGAAAAAUGGUGAAUGGUUGGUUCAAUUGUUAUUAAAAAAGUCUAAGUAGAAAUUAGGAUUCAUUUGGAUUUGUUUAAGAAAAUAAAAGAAGAAAUUCAAUGGAGUUUUGACUCCAAGAUUUGUUUGGAAAAAUUUGAGUGAUGGAAUUGGUUUAUUAUUUUUUUGAAAAUUGACAUUUGUCUAAAAAUCGCGUUUCCUAAGCAUACAUCUAAACGGUAAUCAUGCAACGUGUGUGCGUGUCGUUGCUUGUGUCGGUGUACAUCACUUAUAGUGUCCAUAGUCCUUUACAUUGAGUCCUAAAUACAUGCUAUGGUCUUGCAAGGAAUUAAAAAAAGAACUAAUCUAUCUAAAAUUAUUACAAACCCAAUUGAUGUAGAAAUGAAUAGAAAAUUGAUGCCAAAACUAUGGGAUGAAUGAAAUGUGAGAUGAAAUGGUUAGUAUCAUAAGGCAUAAAAAUAGUAGAAAGGUAAACAAAAUUGAAUAGAAUAGCAAGAGAGAAAAAAAAGUAAUGAAAUGAAAUAAAGUGGCAAAAUAUACCUAAAAUUGGUUAUGACACUUAGACAAUGCACAUGACCUAUAAUCCCCUCAUUAUAGCAAUGUUAAAGGGAUUUGAUUUUGAGCUAUAAUGUGGGAACAAAUAGGACACAUUCAAGCCAAGAAUCAUGACACAUUUUCAAAGAUAUUUUGCACUUUAUUUCUUGAUCAAAACACACAUUACUUACAAAACAAGAAAGAAAUGAAAAUCCAUAUCCACAAUCAGCAAAACAUACAUGUGAUCAGCAACAUAUUCACCAUGAAAUUACACACCAAUCAUCCACAUCACAUGCCAACAUUUUAUGAGAAAAUAUACCACAAAAAUACACAAACUUAGAUCAAACACAAAAUUAAUCAAGAAGAAAUAACACACACAUUUUUAUCAUUUUUUUAAACCACUGAAAAAUAUCACAAAAGUGUUAAAAUGUAUUAAGAAACAUAUAACAAUUUUUUUAGGAAUUUUUUGAGAAAAAAUUGAGCACGCAGAGGUUCAAUUAGCAAAAAAGCAGGGUGCAGAUAGCAGGAAAAUAGCAAAAAAACGAAAAAAGCAAAGCCCAAACCAACCAAAAGAUCCGGAUUCACCAGGAGCGUUGGAUUGAUCCAGGGAAGGAAACCCUAGAUCCAACGGCCAGGAACGAAGGGGAUUGGACCAGUCUUGGACCGGUCCGGUUCACUGGCUUAUAUAAGCAUAUGAGCACCGGUUUUUUCAUUCUUCUCUUGUCUUUCUCUCUCUUCUCUCAUCCUAGUGAGAGAAGCUCUCACUUCUCUCUUCUCCUCCCUCGCCGGAUUCUGGAAAAUGAAGAUGAACUUCAUCUUCUCCGGUGAAACUUGUUCCUCAGGCGUGGUGGUCGGCCGCCCCAAGGGCGGCGGCGCCGCCGCCGGAAGUUGAACAACUUUCUCCGUUUUCAAAAUUUUUUACACUUUUGGAAAUCCUUUUUCGUUCUAAACACGAAUCCGGUACUGGUUUUUUCAUGCAAGGUUUGAAUCGUUGUAGAUCUACACUUUUGUUCACGGUUUUGAAAAAGAUUUUUCUUGAUUCUUUUUAGUGUUUUGUUGAAUGAAAGCUUUGGAACUUUGCAGAUCUAUAACUGAUUCGUGUUUGUUGAUAUUUUUUGAGAAAGAAAGUGGAGUUUUACGUGUUUACCUGCGGUUUCAAUUGGAGAUUUUGAGCGAAGAUCUUCGGAAACACUUGAACUUGAUUCUGUUUGUUGAUUUUUGGAUUUGAAUCCGAAAAUAAAUCGGUUCUUCACUGAUUUGAUAUCUUCUUCUUCUUCACCGGUUCAAUCUUCUUCGUUUUCUUUCCCUCUUCUUCUCUGGUGCGAGCCUUUCGUGAUCGUGCUUGAGUCCGUUGCUAACAGCGAUGGAUUCGCACUGGAAUUGCGAAAGGAACGGUUCGAUGAUGACGAUUCAAGGACGAAUCGCUGAGAACUGUAGAGAAAUCCGAGAGAUUUUUGUCGAAUUCUGGUGAAUUUGUGAUGAAUCUGUGAGUUAGGGUUUGGGAUUGUUCUUGGUGUUCUUGGUGAUUUUCUGAGUUUUGAUCUAACUGAAUGGAGAGAGAAAACUGUGAUUCCUGUUUGUGAUGUGGCGUAUGGUUAAUGGAUCUGUGUGGCACUGUGCACUAUUUAUAAUCUGACAAGUGUGCUUGAGACCCAAUGAAAUGGUGACACCUGGACUUGUAUGAAAAUGGCUCGGCCUUGGACUGAAAUUUUGACUUAGGGCCCUUUCUGCAAAAAAGAAAAAUUGAAGGACUAAACUGCAAUAAUAAAAAAAUGGACUGAAAUCAAAUUUUUAAAUGUUUUGGACUAAAAUGCAAUUUUAGAAACUGUCUCAGGGACUAAAAUGCAAUAAAAAAUAAAAUUGGACUAAAAUUGGUAAAUUGGACAAAACGUAAAGUGAAACCAAAAAUAAAAUCAACAAAAGGACUAAAACGAACCAAUUACUGACAUGAGGUAUUUUAAAAUACCUCUCUGCCGAAAUUUUGACAGGAAAAGACCAAAAUGCCCCUAGGGACUAAACUGACUCAAACUGACUCAGAUGCAAUUUUUGAAAUGAUUUUUAAACAAAGGCUCAACAAUGAUUUGUACAGACAAAUUGAAAAGACUCAGAGGCAAACACAGGGACUAAAAUGGGUUCCACUGCAGGAAAUGACCAAAAUACCCUUUUGUAUGAUUUUUUGAAAUAAAAUGCAAGAAAAGUAAUGCGACGUUUCAAAGGGUUCUUAAAUGACUUGUAAUGUCAGAAAAGACAGAGGCAGUAAAAUACAUUUAAAAAGAGAGUAAAGAUUCAGAAUAAAAUAACAGAGAAUUGACAAAUAUCAGUGUUAAAAAUGAAAUUUGAACGAGUAUUUUUAGGUCCAAAAUUAGGGUAUAACAUUUUGUAUAUGUUUUUCUUUAAUAAUUUCACAGAUUUUACCCUCUUUAAUGAUGGUAAUUAAAAUAAACAUAGCGCGCUAAAUAAUAUUAUUUUGAUUUACUUCUUUGUCUUUAUUUCAUAAUAAUAAACUUACCGUUACUUUAGAUAAUUAUAGGAUACGUCCUUGUGAACAUAGUUCAGCUGAUUUGAACAAUGCAUAAUAUAUGCAAGGUCCAUGGUUCGAACCCCGGCCACCAAAAAAAAAAAAGAUAAUUAUUGGUUACAAUGAAAUACUUACAUUAAAUAAAUAAUAAAUUCAACAAAUUUUAGUAUAAUUUAAUACUAUCAAAAUUGAUUCAAUACAUAAACGACAUAUCCCCUAAAAAAAGUACAUAGAUGAUAUAUAUAAACAAUGUAACAUACAAUUUUUUCAAAUAGCGAAUAUGAAUUUUUAUUAUUAUUUUGAUACAGCUUAUAAGGCUUUCACUAAAGUAAUCCAUGGUCAUUUUUAACAUAAAAUCAGAGAAAAAUACUUUUAUGUCAAAAGUGUUUUACGAAAUGAUGACCUGAAUCAGAUAUUAUACACUUUGUGAAACAAAAAACAAUAUGAAUUAGUGUAUAAGCAUUUAUUUUCCAUUGCAAUAUCAUUUACAAUUAAUGGCAUGUUUGGAUGCGUGUCGAAAUUACCAAUCUCGCGUUUUGAUGUCAAUUUCAACGCAAUUUUAAUAAGCUGCAUAUUUGAGCUUCACACUAAUAAAUGCACAACUGCAUUCACACCACCACUGAACCAUUUCUUACCUUCUCUUUUUGGUUAUUUUGUUUUAUAAGAGGUUGCAUAGAAUUUUCUAGAAUAAAAUUAAUAAGUUAAAGAGACAUAGUUUGCCUCAUAUAAUUGUCAAGAAUAAUCUUUAUUUCAUUGUAUAAGAGGGGUUAAAGAAGGGGUAGAGUGAAAGACAAUAAUGCAGAGUUGUAAGACACAGGAACAUGCAAUAACUUUUCUUUAUAUCCUUUUGUUACUAUAAGCAUUAAGAAUCUUGAGUAAGAAUCUUUACGGUCGAUGUUACGAUUAUAAGACUGGUGUUAGUCACACUCCAAAAAAAAAUAAGUUACAUCUAAAUUUAUUUACAAUUUUACAAUAAUACCAAAAUUGCCCUCUUCAUGUAAAUUUUUAAAAACUCAUCUUUUAUGAUCAUUCUGAACCCUUACCCCCUUUCAUCCACAAAUGACCAUAGAUGUGCAACCAAUAUCUAAAUCAACAUAUUUGUUAUUGAUCUGUACUAUAUUCAUAAAGGUUAGUGAAUUUCAUGAAUUUCAUUUUCGAUGAGUUUCUAUUUGUUUAUUGUUUAUUUUGGUAUGAGAUAUGCCUCUCAAUUUGAUUUUAAUUGAGAGGUUAGUGUAAAUUAAGUUUACGUGUAUGUAUAUAAAAGGGGUUAGUGUAGUUUACGUAUGUAUGUUAAUGUAAAUUCAAGUUUACGUAUGUUCAAUUUAGGUUAGUGUAAAUUCAGUUUACUUACGUUCAAUCUAGGUUAAUGUAAAUUAGGUUUAUUUAUGUUCAAUUUAGGUUAAUGUAAAUUUAGUUUACGUAUGUAUAUUAGAGGUUAGUGUAAAUUCAGUUUACUUACGUUCAAUCUAGGUUAAUGUAAAUUCAGUUUACUUAUGUUCAAUCUAGGUUAAUGUAAAUUAAGUUUGUAAAUUCA
rnacentral:lncRNA from 1 species